rnacentral:rRNA from 1 species
AGUGAACGCUGGCGGUAGGCCUAACACAUGCAAGUCGAACGGCAGCACAGUAAGAGCUUGCUCUUACGGGUGGCGAGUGGCGGACGGGUGAGGAAUACAUCUGAAUCUACUUUUUCGUGGGGGAUAACGUAGGGAAACUUACGCUAAUACCGCAUACGACCUACGGGUGAAAGCAGGGGAUCUUCGGACCUUGCGCGAUUGAAUGAGCCGAUGUCGGAUUAGCUAGUUGGCGGGGUAAAGGCCCACCAAGGCGACGAUCCGUAGCUGGUCUGAGAGGAUGAUCAGCCACAAUGGAACUGAGACACGGUCCAGACUCCUACGGGAGGCAGCAGUGGGGAAUAUUGGACAAUGGGCGCAAGCCUGAUCCAGCCAUACCGCGUGGGUGAAGAAGGCCUUCGGGUUGUAAAGCCCUUUUGUUGGGAAAGAAAAGCAGCAGGUUAAUACCCCGCUGUUCUGACGGUACCCAAAGAAUAAGCACCGGCUAACUUCGUG